CCUAGGGAGGCAGCAGUAGGGAAUCUUUCACAAUGGGCGAAAGCCUGAUGGAGCAACGCCGCGUGCAGGAUGAAGGCCUUCGGGUUGUAAACUGCUUUUAUAAGCGAGAAAUAUGAUGGUAACUUAUGAAUAAGGAUCGGCUAACUACGUGCCAGCAGCCGCGGUCAGACGUAGGAGCCGAGCAUUAUCCGGAGUGACUGGGGGUAAAGAGUUGCGUAGGUGGGCUAAUAAGUAGCUAGUGAAAUCUGGUGGCUCAACCAUUCAGACUAUUAGCUAAACUGUUAAGCUCGAGACCGUUAGGGGUAACUGGAAGUUCUAGUGUAGGAGUGAAAGCCGUAGAUAGUAGAAGGAACACCGAUAGCGUAGGCAGGUUGCUGGGACGGUUCUGACACUAAGGCACGAAAGCGUAGGGAGCAAACGGGAUUAGAUACCCGUGUAGUC
rnacentral:rRNA from 1 species